rnacentral:snRNA from 1 species
AUACUUACCUGGCACUGGGGACGCCUUGAUCAACAAGGAGGCUCCCCCGAGCAGAGGCCUCUCAUUGCACUGCGAGGGGUUGCUUGGGGUGCGUUC